AGCAGCCGCGGUAAUUCCAGCUCCAAUAGCGUAUAUUAAAGUUGUUGCAGUUAAAAAGUUCGUAGUUGAAUUUCGGGAUCAGUACGCUGGUCAUGCCUUUGGUAUGCACUGGUGUCACUGGUUUCUCCCUUCUGAAGAUCCGUGAUGUCAUUAAUUUGGUGUCGCGGGGAAUCAGGACUGUUUGAAAAAAUUAGAGUGUUUAAAGCAGGCUCACGCUUGAAUACAUUAGCAUGGAAUAAUGAAAUAGGACGUUUGACCCUAUUUUGUUGGUUUCUAGGAUCGACGUAAUGAUUAAUAGGGAUAGUUGGGGGCAUUAGUAUUCAAUUGUCAGAGGUGAAAUUCUUGGAUUUAUUGAAGACUAACUACUGCGAAAGCAUUUGCCAAGGAUGUUUUCAUUAAUCAAGAACGAAAGUUAGGGGAUCGAAGACGAUCAGAUACCGUCGUAGUCUUAACCAUAAACUAUGCCGACUAGGGAUCGGAUGAUGUUAAUUUUAUAAUGACUCAUUCGGCGCCUUAAC
rnacentral:rRNA from 1 species